AGUUCCGAAUUUAACUAUAGAUUUCAUGCUAUAUAUAUAUUUUCGGAACUGAGGCCAUGAUUAAGAGGGACGCCCAGGGGCAUUCGUAUUGCGCCGCUAGAGAUGAAAUUCUUGGACUGGCGCAAGAUGGACCAGAGCGAAAGCAUUUGCCAGGAAUGUUUUCAUUAAUAAG
rnacentral:ncRNA from 1 species